rnacentral:rRNA from 1 species
UACGUAGGGGGCAAGCGUUGUCCGGAAUCAUUGGGCGUAAAGAGCGUGUAGGCGGCCCGGUAAGUCCGCUGUGAAAGUCCAGGGCUCAACCCUGGGAUGCCGGUGGAUACUGUCGGGCUCGAGUCCGGAAGAGGAGUGUGGAAUUCCUGGUGUAGCGGUGAAAUGCGCAGAUAUCAGGAGGAACACCAAUCACGAAGGCAGCACUCUGGGACGUGACUGACGCUGAGACGCGAAAGCGUGGGGAGCAAACAGG